rfam:Candidatus Lambdaproteobacteria bacterium RIFOXYD2_FTLL_50_16 rifoxyd2_full_scaffold_98, whole genome shotgun sequence.
AGGCGCGUAGCUCAGUGGGAGAGCACUACCUCGACACGGUAGUGGUCGUCGGUUCAAUCCCGACCGCGCCUA